AUGAACUACCUCAGGAGCCGGAGCCUGAAGCGGCUCCUGUCCAUCGGCCGCCGGAGCAACCCCGACGAGGACUGCGUCGUCGAGGCCGAGCCCCCGCCGCCGGUGGCGGUGGCGCCGAGCAAGCCCGCAUGGAGGUGCUUCUCCUACGAGGAGGUUGACCAGGCCACCAACGGCUUCCACCCAGACAACGUGGUGGGGCGUGGCGGGUACGGCGAGGUGUACUGCGGCAUCCUGGCGGACGGGCGGGCCGUGGCGGUGAAGCGGCUGGCGGCGGCGGCGGCGGACGAGAAGAAGGAGAAGGACUUCCUGACGGAGCUGGGCACGGUGGGCCACGUGCGCCACCCCAACGUCUCCUCCCUCCUCGGCUGCUGCGUCGACCGCGGCCUCCACCUCGUCUUCGACUUCUCCACCCGCGGCUCCGUCUCCGCAAACCUCCACGACGAGAAGCGGCCGGUGAUGACGUGGAGCCAGCGGCACGGCGUGGCGGUGGGCACGGCGCGGGGGCUCCGCUACCUCCACAAGGGCUGCGCGCGCCGGAUCAUCCACCGGGACAUCAAGGCCUCCAACAUCCUCCUCGACGCCGACUACCAGCCCCAGAUUUCCGACUUCGGGCUCGCACGGUGGCUGCCGUCGGAGUGGACGCACCACGCCAUCGCGCCCAUCGAGGGCACCUUCGGGUGCCUGGCGCCGGAGUACUUCACGCACGGCAUCGUGGACGAGAAGACGGACGUGUUCGCCUUCGGCGUCUUCCUCCUCGAGCUCAUCUCCGGCCGGAAGCCCGUCGACGGCUCCCACAUGAGCCUCCUCGCAUGGGCCAAGCCUUACCUGAAGGACGGCGUGGUGCAAGGGCUGGUGGACCCGCGGCUCGGCGACGGCGGCUACGACGCCGGCCAGCUCCGGCGGCUCAUGUUCGUCGCCUCGCUCUGCGCCAGGUCCGCUGCCGCGUGGCGUCCCACCAUGACAGAGGUGCUGGAGCUGCUGGAGUCGUCGGCCGAGAUAUCGCAGGAACGGUGGCAGAUGCCGGAGGAGGCGGUGGAGGACGAGUUCUGGGACUUCGACGACCUCACCGACUUCGAGGACGACGACUACGACGACGAUGACUACGACGGCGAAUCCGAUUCCCCCUCGAUACCCUCGUCGGCGUGCAGCAUCCACGCCAAUGAUUGA
rnacentral:rRNA from 1 species